AUAAAUUUUAGGGUGAUGGAUGCUUACUCAACUUUAAAUUCUGUUGGAGUCUCUUGUUUCCCCCCCUCACCCACCAUUUCAAGCAGGUAACUCAAACUUGGAAAUAACAUGACACUUUUGAGAUUCAUAUUUUAUUUACAAGUAAAUGAAGACUGUCCCUGUAAACUCUAA